UUGUCAAGUUUUGAAUUUACUGCCUAGUAGAUCUGUAGUUUAUUUUAGAGCAAGAACGGAGGGCACUGUCUGAUAGGGUGGGAGACGGAUCAUUUGGACGCACUGGAACUCAACUCAGGGUGCAGCAGCAAAGACCCAACGCUUCCUCUUCUUCCUCAACCCUGCCUGCAUGUUAAUGCAGCAGCACGGAAUAGAAUGAGACAACCAGCUUGACUGCGAGGCGCUUUGUUAUCAUAGAAAUCAAAGCAACGAGUCUUCAUCGCUGGGAAAUUUCCACAGAUUUCUACAGAAAGGCUCAUACAGGUGACAAGAGCUCCCAACUUCACCGCACCCCCUGGAACCAGCGCGUUUUAUCCACAGGGGGUGAGCUGCGUGAGACCCUCACUGCUCCUCUUCUUCUUUAAUGUAAAUUUUCUUUUUCUUUUUUCCAUUUUGACGCGACAUUUCACUGCGCCGAUGUGCAUGCGGCCACGCAAUGACGCACUUGCGGCUUUUGGCCGCGUUUCAGUGAUCUCAUUUCGGAUUGUUCUCAUUUUAAGGGGGGAGUUUAGAGAUGGCGCACCGGAGUGUCCCGUUUUCUGACAAGUUUCCGUUGCUGUUUGGUAUGUUCGUCAUGUCCGCCCGGCUUCACGCGCGCCUCUCCGUGUAGAACCAGACGCGGAUUCAGAAGUUGGCCUAGAAUAACAAUAAGAGGAGUGCGCAGCUCGGAGGACGAAGAGCAGAAGUGACAGCGGCAUUCAUGGGGUGCUGGGCGGCUGAAUUUACUACAAUCAUCCGCAUCUCUUUGCGAGGAAUAAAAACUGCGAGGGGGGUUCUGCUACUGCCCACCCUCUCUUCAUCCACACACUUUUAAAUUUUUAAAACAUUUUCUGUAGUGAAUCCAGGCUUCUGGCGCCGCAGCUGCGCAAAACUUGGCCAGAUCCGGGAACAUUGUCGCUUGUUUGCGCAGCCUGGAUGGAUAUGCGGCUGACGGAGGGAAUUUAUUAUUAUUAUUAUUAAUAAAAAAAAGCAAGGGGGGAUUAUUAUCAGUCCCUCGUCCAUUAUACCCUCAAAAUGGAUGCCUACGUCAGGCUUUGGGGACGCCACUGGAUAAUCGGCAUCUGAGAAGCGCUUACAGGCGUUUAAAGUUUGGAUAAAUCCGAAGUGGCUGACAGGCUAGAAUGCAGUCUGCGGCCAAGACGCUGUCCGCAGGUGGAGGGGCGUCGCUCUGCUGCCUACUUCUCCUCUGGAUCAUCUACUCGCACUUGCUCAGAGAAGGCCAGUUGGUGGUGGGGACCUGUGAGAUAGUGAUGCUCAACAGAGACAGCAGUGUUCCGAGGCGGACAAUCGCACGGCAGACCGCGCGCUGCGCCUGUCGGAGAGGCUUGAUUGCCGGCACCACCAGGGCGAGGCCAGCUUGUGUAGACGCGCGAAUCGUGCGGAGCCGUCAGUGGUGUGAGAUGGCUCCCUGCGUGGAGGGGGAGGUCUGCAGCCUCCUGUUCAACAGAUCUGGCUGGACCUGCACUAGGGGCAGUGGUCGCAUCAAGACCGUCACGCCUUUGCCCAGGGAGCCGUCGUAGGACAAAGGGGAAAACAGCAAUCAGCAACAGCCCCACAAAUGAGAGGCCAAACUGCGCUGCGCAGCCUUUGGCUCUGAGGACCCGAGACGCUUGGGGGAUUCGUGAAAUGCAGCAAGUCUCUUUAUCUCAUCGCCAGGGUCACAAACAUGUUUUUUUCAAAACAAAGCAGUGGCCAGUCACUAUAUCUGUAUCCAUUCACUAACGGGCCUCACAAAAUCUCCUCAAGGACUGACCUCCCAGGACAAAAAAAGCUUCUCCAGUCACUCCAGUGACUCUUGGGAUAAUUCUGAGAAGCCUCAGCUGAGCCUCUCAAUACACCAACAGCAUCAAACUUUCACCACAGACUGAUUUACCAAGUCAUCACUGAGAGAGAAAGAAAAUUCCCUAUGAGGAACAGUUUUUAGUGGAGCAUUGACUUUCUGGCCUUUUUAUGCGGUUGUGUCCUCCACCACCUGAUUUCUAAGGGAAGGAUCCUUGAAGAUCUUUUUAUUCAUACCUUUUGUGACUGGAUUCAAACUUAUGAGGAACUUCUUUUAAGAGUCAGCCGUUUUAGCGUCCUUACAUUCCCCUCCAUGAAGCCGUAAUAACCCAGUCACAUUUCAUUAACAACACUUUGCUGCUAAGGAGCUGUGAUUUUACUGACGCUGAGCCAAACACUGUAGUCUGCCAGAUUAGAGCCUUUAACACCUUUCUCUCGUUUGACUCGGUGGAACUUUACAAGGCUGAGGAGAACACCGCAGGACCAUCACUGGGAAGCAGUGAGGAAAGUCACAUAGACAACAGGAAGACGUCAUUGUGUAUGGCUCCUUGCUGAAAGUCGGUAUUAUGUGGACGCUUUGGUUGACUUAGUUUGUGUCUUUUGUUGUUUUUUUUUAUGUGGCGCAAACAUAGCCUAGCAGAGUAGUUUUUGUCAAUGAACCUGAGCCAUAUUGCCCACACCACUGGGAGUAUUUAGCAAAUGUGGACCCCCGGCUCAUUUUAUGUGUUUUGGGAGAUGGUGCAUGUCUGCAUCUGUCCAUGUGUGUCAUUCUCUGUGGGGGUGAACGUUUAUGUGUGUGUGUGUGUGUGCCGGGGUGUGUGUGUGUGUGCAUGAGUACAACAGGAAACACACUGUGAAAAAAGUCCUAUCCAAUGCAUUUUUCAUACUCUUGUAUAUUUUUGGGACAUGCCCAGACUAGAGCUCACCAUCUGGCGAAGAGAAUUUCACAAAUGUUGGAUCCAGUUCAUAUCCAUGGUUUCACCUUUUGCUUUUUUUUUUUUUUUUUCGGUUUCCCUCUUCCUGUGGUAUUUACAGAUAUUUUUACUGAAGUAACAAAUGGUUAAACCUGGAUCACAACUGGUCAAAUCAGUUAAAUCCUCUAAUCAAGCUCUUGUUUAUGUGAUUAAUAUUAUUUCUGAAUCCAAUCAAAAUUGAAUAUAUUUUGAUAUACACGUCCAGCUCUUUGCAGGACGUGGUAUUUGCAGAUAUUGAUGAUAGUGUGACUUAUUUUAAAAAUGUAUGUAGCUCAAUAUAUAUCAGACAAAUAUAUUUUGUGUUAUCAUUAAAGGGCAGCAGAACUGUUUGAUUUGGGUGGACACAAAAACAUAAGCACUUCUAACAAUACUCAGCCUGAACAUUAUAAAAUUAGUCAACAUUCUCCUACAUUUUGAAGAUUAUUUUAUUUUUUGUUUUCAUUUCUGGCAAGAAGACAGGAACAGUCUGCUUUAUGAUGCUGAAGUGUUUUAGUUCAUGUGUCCAUUCCAUUUGUUUAAUUCUUUCUACUCAAAAACAAAAAAUCCUCCUGUACGUCUCCAUUGACUGUUUGCAUUCGAGGAUAUAAAUAAUGUCUGUUUCGGAUGAACAUGGCGUAUUUGUGAGAAUCGAUUUACACCACUCAAAUCCUGUGGGUUGUGACAGUUUUGUACACUGUUCAAACAUUGGUUUAGGCUUUAUAGCUCGGUUUAAGGCAUUAUGUGUACAAAGGCUUGUAAGAAAUCCAAAAUAGCAAGUGUGUUUAUGAGAGAUUUGUUUUGUGUGUGUUUGUUUUUUCCAGGUCAGCUAUGGUCUGUAUUGUGAGAAAAUAUCCAUUUCCAUCUAAUUCAAUGGUUUUGAUUUCAUGUAGCCUUUUUAAUCACUCCUUUGGUUUUGCACUCUGUGUAAAUAAAUUGUCGCUUUGAUUUGACUCCAUGC